rnacentral:tmRNA from 1 species
GGGGGCGAAACGGAUUCGACGGGGAUAUUGAAGCUUGAUGUUGCAUGCCGAGUUUCUGUCAGCUCGUAAAAAUGACGGAAUUAAAUAUAAUCGCAGACGAUUAUAACUACGCUCUGGCAGCCUAAACAGCUGCUGAGCCGUCCCACCGGUCUUUGCCUGUAAGGCCGGAUUCGGGGCGUCGACUCCACAGGCUGGUUGGUUGCGCAUGCCCGGGGCGCAACCAACGAGACUUUCCGGGCUGGCAUCCGAGUAUCCCUGUUCCGGGUGAGAGACGGAUGCGAGAACCAAUCCCGGAACUACGCAUGUAGAGACACGAGGGGAGAAUUUUCGGACGCGGGUUCAACUCCCGCCGCCUCCACCA